ACGAACGCUGGCGGCGUGCCUAAUACAUGCAAGUCGAACGCUUCUUUUUCCAUCGGAGCUUGCUCCACCGGAAAAAGAGGAGUGGCGAACGGGUGAGUAACACGUGGGUAACCUGCCCAUCAGAAGGGGAUAACACUUGGAAACAGGUGCUAAUACCGUAUAACAAUCGAAACCGCAUGGUUUUGAUUUGAAAGGCGCUUUCGGGUGUCGCUGAUGGAUGGACCCGCGGUGCAUUAGCUAGUUGGUGAGGUAACGGCUCACCAAGGCGACGAUGCAUAGCCGACCUGAGAGGGUGAUCGGCCACAUUGGGACUGAGACACGGCCCAAACUCCUACGGGAGGCAGCAGUAGGGAAUCUUCGGCAAUGGACGAAAGUCUGACCGAGCAACGCCGCGUGAGUGAAGAAGGUUUUCGGAUCGUAAAACUCUGUUGUUAGAGAAGAACAAGGAUGAGAGUAACUGUUCAUCCCUUGACGGUAUCUAACCAGAAAGCCACGGCUAACUACGUGCCAGCAGCCGCGGUAAUACGUAGGUGGCAAGCGUUGUCCGGAUUUAUUGGGCGUAAAGCGAGCGCAGGCGGUUUCUUAAGUCUGAUGUGAAAGCCCCCGGCUCAACCGGGGAGGGUCAUUGGAAACUGGGAGACUUGAGUGCAGAAGAGGAGAGUGGAAUUCCAUGUGUAGCGGUGAAAUGCGUAGAUAUAUGGAGGAACACCAGUGGCGAAGGCGGCUCUCUGGUCUGUAACUGACGCUGAGGCUCGAAAGCGUGGGGAGCAAACAGGAUUAGAUACCCUGGUAGUCCACGCCGUAAACGAUGAGUGCUAAGUGUUGGAGGGUUUCCGCCCUUCAGUGCUGCAGCUAACGCAUUAAGCACUCCGCCUGGGGAGUACGACCGCAAGGUUGAAACUCAAAGGAAUUGACGGGGGCCCGCACAAGCGGUGGAGCAUGUGGUUUAAUUCGAAGCAACGCGAAGAACCUUACCAGGUCUUGACAUCCUUUGACCACUCUAGAGAUAGAGCUUCCCCUUCGGGGGCAAAGUGACAGGUGGUGCAUGGUUGUCGUCAGCUCGUGUCGUGAGAUGUUGGGUUAAGUCCCGCAACGAGCGCAACCCUUAUUGUUAGUUGCCAUCAUUUAGUUGGGCACUCUAGCAAGACUGCCGGUGACAAACCGGAGGAAGGUGGGGAUGACGUCAAAUCAUCAUGCCCCUUAUGACCUGGGCUACACACGUACUACAAUGGCGUUUAACAAAGAGAAGCAAGACCGCGAGGUGGAGCAAAACUCAAAAACAACGUCUCAGUUCAGAUUGCAGGCUGCAACUCGCCUGCACGAAGUCGGAAUUGCUAGUAAUCGCGGAUCAGCAUGCCGCGGUGAAUACGUUCCCGGGCCUUGUACACACCGCCCGUCACACCACGAGAGUUUGUAACACCCGAAGUCGGUGAGGUAACCUUUUGGAGCCAGCCGCCUAAGGUGGGAUAGAUGAUUGGGGUG
rnacentral:rRNA from 1 species